rnacentral:lncRNA from 1 species
UGAAACCAAUGGAGGAUAUCUCUGCCAUGCUGCCUUUAAGCUUAGUUGAAUCUUAUUGCUAUUCUCUCCUUGUAUUUUGCUUAUCAGUUCUACUUCCUCUAUUUAUUAAUUAUUGGUUAAUCUUUCUUCCAGGACUUUUGUGGGGACAAAUUUAAGUCCUUUGUGGGAAAGGUUCCUGGCUCCAUCAGAAGGUAAAUCAUUACAAUUUUCUGCCUUUUUUUUAACUUAAGUACUACUAUUUUGUGGUUACCCUAUGACCUUAAACUGUUAGCACCUGAACUUAGGUAAUCUAACACCUGACUUUCAAAAUGAAGCUGCUUUGAUGUCCAAUAAAAUUAUCAAGAAAGGAUCAAGGGGAUGGGGGUUGAGUUAUUGAAAAUUUAAGGCAGUAGGAGGGUAGCUGUCUUCGGUUUCCUUGCUUGGAUGCAGUGGAGUUUCCCUUUGUGUCUGAAAAUAUGUAGAUCUCGCUCUUCUCUCUGUUCCCAAGUACAGGAGAUAUUACUGGAUCCUGAAAUCAUUAGCCAUUUGGGAACUUGAGCAUUCAUCAUCGUAUAGCUGUCCAAUUCCAUAACUCUUAGUACAGUAACCCAAUAACAGAGGCGCUCCAAUCUUCAUUCAAGUUAUAACUGUUUUAGGUCCUGCCUUCCUCCUUUGUACCUUGUUUGAAUUGGAUUGUGUUCCAUUUUUUAAUCAGAAAAUAUUCAGAAAGGGUAAAGGAUGUAAAAUUGUUGCCUUUUUUAUGCCUCAAUUGUCAUGUAGGUUCAUAGAAUUGCUAAACAAGGGAAUAAGAAACAAGGAGUAGUAUUGCAUAUUGGCUGCUUUAUGAGUUGGUUGUUUUCAUUAAGAAGAUAGCUUACUAUGUCACUGUUGGAAGAUAUAGAAGUCAACUAUUUGAAUUUGAAAGUCAGCUAUUUGAAUUUGAAAGUCAACUUAAUAUUGACGGAGAGCAGAAACCAGAUCUCUUCUGUCUACUGUACAUAACUAGCACUUGACCAAUCAAAAAGCCACAACUCCCUGUAGUUGAGAUGAAACUUCUGAAUUUGCUCCUUUGACAAUUAAUUUAACAGGUUUCACAUGGCACUUGGAGUCUCACAACUAGUUGAAGUUUUCAUUAACAAUGGUCUGGUAUAAUUAAUAGAUAACCAUUCUUAAGCAUAUAAUUAGAUGUUUGAUUUGUAUAUUUAUACAUGUAUGGAAAAAUAUUUAAUAUUUAUUAGAAGAAAUCAACUACUUCAAUGAGUGUUGUUACAAAGAAAAACCUUCAAUGAAUGUGUUAGAAUUUGAGAUUUUUAAAAUAAAAUAUUUUCUCUAUAGUUUCAAAUCGCUUCUAAAGUUGAUUAAUGGUUGCUUGUGUUUGUAACAACUAGUUGAAGGCUAAUGAUAUUUAAUUUUGCACACUAUUCUAAUUACUUUUUGCUCUACUUGAUAAGGGGAUUUAAUAGGUUUUGUAUUUAAGCUCUUAGUAAAACACUAAUGAGCUCCAAUUUGAGGCUAAGGUCUUAAUUUAUCCUUGAUAUACUCUAUUUAAACCUAUUUUUAGGACUUUUGAUAAGAGAUCCUUUACAGUUUUUUUUUUUUUUUUGUGCUUUAUUUCUCGCUUGGGUAUAUUACCCAUUUGAGAUUUCUUUUUAGAUAUUGAGGUUUAGUUUUAAACUGCUUAUCAAUUCUAGUUUAUAUUAUUUCUCUAUCAAUAUUUUUCAUUUUCUAUAAAUCUUGAUUGUGAAUUCUUUUGGGUUGAUGCAUCAUCAUCUAAAUUUGGGUUUGUAUUCUUGAUCAGGGACUGUGAUGCAUGAUUUGUCAUACUCAAAUUGAGAUUGAUAGGGUCUAUGAUGCUUAAUCAACGAUUUGAUUAAAAAAAUGAUCGAUUUAGAAAUUGGUUUGGUGACUUAGAAGGCAGGCACUUGAUUGUCAAACCUAAGUUAAUUAAAUUUUGGCUGCUUAAUUCUGUGGAUAUUCUAUUGAAAUUAUUGAUGCUUAAUUGGUUGAAUUCAAGGUCAAAAUAGAAUUGAAACAAUAAUUUUGAUGUUGAACAAAUGGAUUG